UACGUAGGGGGCGAGCGUUGUCCGCAGUUACUGGGCGUAAAGCGCGCGUAGGCGGUUAUUUAAGUUCGGGGUGAAAGGUUCAGCGCUCAACGCGAACAGUGCCUUGAAUACUGGAUGACUUGAGUUCGGGAGAGGGCAGUGGAAUUCCUGGUGUAGCGGUGAAAUGCGUAGAUAUCAGGAGGAACACCGGUGGCGAAGGCGGGUCUCUGGGCCGUAACUGACGCUGAGGAGCGAAAGCAUGGGGAGCGAACAGG
rnacentral:rRNA from 1 species